GGAAUACAUCUGUCAACACUUCUCCCAAAAGGAAAUGCACAAACUAAAAAGGAUUUUCUUUUUCUUUUACAAAAUCCACAUACUGUCAAAAGAAGAAAUGUUUCAUAUUUUUUUAUCAGAAAACAUCACAAAACCCCAGGAACUCAAAGUCUUAUCUGAAAUCUCUCCACCUUAUCCCAUCAAAUCUUUUUUUCUUGAUUUUACUUACAGUCAGUCGCUAUAAAAAUCAUUCAAUAUAUAUUUCAGUAGUAGUACAUGAACCUCUCUUGUGUCUUGUUUUCAUCAAUGAGGAAGUUGUUAUUACAGCUAUUAUUACUACUGCUGCUAAUCAAUUGCUUCACAUCCUCAAGAUCAUACUCCAAUGGUGGGGUUUCUCCAAAGUACCCAGUUGCCUUCUCUGCCCAUUGGUUCAAAUUCCCACUUCCAUUAACACUAUUGUUGCCAUAACUUAGCAUGAAUUUGUGGUUCUUUUCAUACCCAUUUGAGAUAUAGCCUUGAAAUCCCAUAUCUUCUUGUUUGAUCUCUCUGCCUCCUCCAUAGCUGAUCUGGCUGCAACUCCCAUCAGAAUUAGAACUGCAACUUGCUUCACUUCCAAACACCAGCAGAUUACUACCAUUAUUAUUAUUAGUAUUAUUAUUUUCUUUCACUGGAUGAUGGUAUUGCAAAGGACUCCAACCCUCUUGGGUUUGGAAAAGUGAAGAUGGGUUUGUAGCUAGAGUACUGCUAUUGUUGGCUAAAAUAUUUGAUGGGAUUGGUGAAAUGGGUUCAAACCCAGUGCUGAAAGGUUUAGCAGUAGCGGCAGGGCAACAAGGGUAAGCUGCUGCAGAAGAGUCAUUGUAGAUAGAUAAGAGUGACUGAUAAGAUAAUGGUGGAGAUUGAUGAUGAUGAGGAGAUGGGAAUGGUAGAGGUUUUCUUUGAGAUUGAGAAGCCAUAGCCAUGAGCUUCUUCCUGAGCUUGGUGUUCCAGUAGUUCUUGAUAUCAUUAUCAGUUCUGCCUGGCAACUGAGCAGCUAUAAUUGACCAUCUGCUUCCAAUGCUAGCAAAUAGGGUGCAGAUAAUCCUAUCCUCUUCAUCAGAGAAUUCACCAUGUUUAAUGUUAGGCCUCAGAUAGUUUAGCCAUCUCAAUCUGCAGCUCUUUCCACAUCUC
rnacentral:misc_RNA from 1 species